rnacentral:rRNA from 1 species
GAUGAACGCUGGCGGCGUGCCUAAUACAUGCAAGUCGAGCGAACGGACGAGAAGCUUGCUUCUCUGAUGUUAGCGGCGGACGGGUGAGUAACACGUGGAUAACCUACCUAUAAGACUGGGAUAACUUCGGGAAACCGGAGCUAAUACCGGAUAAUAUUUUGAACCGCAUGGUUCAAAAGUGAAAGACGGUCUUGCUGUCACUUAUAGAUGGAUCCGCGCUGCAUUAGCUAGUUGGUAAGGUAACGGCUUACCAAGGCAACGAUGCAUAGCCGACCUGAGAGGGUGAUCGGCCACACUGGAACUGAGACACGGUCCAGACUCCUACGGGAGGCAGCAGUAGGGAAUCUUCCGCAAUGGGCGAAAGCCUGACGGAGCAACGCCGCGUGAGUGAUGAAGGUCUUCGGAUCGUAAAACUCUGUUAUUAGGGAAGAACAUAUGUGUAAGUAACUGUGCACAUCUUGACGGUACCUAAUCAGAAAGCCACGGCUAACUACGUGCCAGCAGCCGCGGUAAUACGUAGGUGGCAAGCGUUAUCCGGAAUUAUUGGGCGUAAAGCGCGCGUAGGCGGUUUUUUAGUCUGAUGUGAAAGCCCACGGCUCAACCGUGGAGGGUCAUUGGAAACUGGAAAACUUGAGUGCAGAAGAGGAAAGUGGAACUCCAUGUGUAGCGGUGAAAUGCGCAGAGAUAUGGAGGAACACCAGUGGCGAAGGCGACUUUCUGGUCUGUAACUGACGCUGAUGUGCGAAAGCGUGGGGAUCAAACAGGAUUAGAUACCCUGGUAGUCCACGCCGUAAACGAUGAGUGCUAAGUGUUAGGGGGUUUCCGCCCCUUAGUGCUGCAGCUAACGCAUUAAGCACUCCGCCUGGGGAGUACGACCGCAAGGUUGAAACUCAAAGGAAUUGACGGGGACCCGCACAAGCGGUGGAGCAUGUGGUUUAAUUUGAAGCAACGCGAAGAACCUUACCAAAUCUUGACAUCCUUUGACAACUCUAGAGAUAGAGCUUUCCCCUUCGGGGGACAAAGUGACAGGUGGUGCAUGGUUGUCGUCAGCUCGUGUCGUGAGAUGUUGGGUUAAGUCCCGCAACGAGCGCAACCCUUAAGCUUAGUUGCCAUCAUUAAGUUGGGCACUCUAAGUUGACUGCCGGUGACAAACCGGAGGAAGGUGGGGAUGACGUCAAAUCAUCAUGCCCCUUAUGAUUUGGGCUACACACGUGCUACAAUGGACAAUACAAAGGGCAGCGAAACCGCGAGGUCAAGCAAAUCCCAUAAAGUUGUUCUCAGUUCGGAUUGUAGUCUGCAACUCGACUACAUGAAGCUGGAAUCGCUAGUAAUCGUAGAUCAGCAUGCUACGGUGAAUACGUUCCCGGGUCU